rnacentral:rRNA from 1 species
AAAUUGAAGAGUUUGAUCAUGGCUCAGAUUGAACGCUGGCGGCAGGCCUAACACAUGCAAGUCGAACGGUAGCACAGAGAGCUUGCUCUUGGGUGACGAGUGGCGGACGGGUGAGUAAUGUCUGGGAAACUGCCCGAUGGAGGGGGAUAACUACUGGAAACGGUAGCUAAUACCGCAUAACGUCGCAAGACCAAAGUGGGGGACCUUCGGGCCUCACACCAUCGGAUGUGCCCAGAUGGGAUUAGCUAGUAGGUGGGGUAACGGCUCACCUAGGCGACGAUCCCUAGCUGGUCUGAGAGGAUGACCAGCCACACUGGAACUGAGACACGGUCCAGACUCCUACGGGAGGCAGCAGUGGGGAAUAUUGCACAAUGGGCGCAAGCCUGAUGCAGCCAUGCCGCGUGUAUGAAGAAGGCCUUCGGGUUGUAAAGUACUUUCAGCGAGGAGGAAGGCGUUGUGGUUAAUAACCGCAGCGAUUGACGUUACUCGCAGAAGAAGCACCGGCUAACUCCGUGCCAGCAGCCGCGGUAAUACGGAGGGUGCAAGCGUUAAUCGGAAUUACUGGGCGUAAAGCGCACGCAGGCGGUUUGUUAAGUCAGAUGUGAAAUCCCCGGGCUCAACCUGGGAACUGCAUUUGAAACUGGCAAGCUUGAGUCUCGUAGAGGGGGGUAGAAUUCCAGGUGUAGCGGUGAAAUGCGUAGAGAUCUGGAGGAAUACCGGUGGCGAAGGCGGCCCCCUGGACGAAGACUGACGCUCAGGUGCGAAAGCGUGGGGAGCAAACAGGAUUAGAUACCCUGGUAGUCCACGCCGUAAACGAUGUCUAUUUGGAGGUUGUGCCCUUGAGGCGUGGCUUCCGGAGCUAACGCGUUAAAUAGACCGCCUGGGGAGUACGGCCGCAAGGUUAAAACUCAAAUGAAUUGACGGGGGCCCGCACAAGCGGUGGAGCAUGUGGUUUAAUUCGAUGCAACGCGAAGAACCUUACCUACUCUUGACAUCCAGAGAACUUAGCAGAGAUGCUUUGGUGCCUUCGGGAACUCUGAGACAGGUGCUGCAUGGCUGUCGUCAGCUCGUGUUGUGAAAUGUUGGGUUAAGUCCCGCAACGAGCGCAACCCUUAUCCUUUGUUGCCAGCGGUUCGGCCGGGAACUCAAAGGAGACUGCCAGUGAUAAACUGGAGGAAGGUGGGGAUGACGUCAAGUCAUCAUGGCCCUUACGAGUAGGGCUACACACGUGCUACAAUGGCAUAUACAAAGAGAAGCGACCUCGCGAGAGCAAGCGGACCUCAUAAAGUAUGUCGUAGUCCGGAUUGGAGUCUGCAACUCGACUCCAUGAAGUCGGAAUCGCUAGUAAUCGUAGAUCAGAAUGCUACGGUGAAUACGUUCCCGGGCCUUGUACACACCGCCCGUCACACCAUGGGAGUGGGUUGCAAAAGAAGUAGGUAGCUUAACCUUCGGGAGGGCGCUUACCACUUUGUGAUUCAUGACUGGGGUGAAGUCGUAACAAGGUAACCGUAGGGGAACCUGCGGUUGGAUCACCUCCUUA